CUCAGAAAUUGUUCAGAAUUUGAACUACUGAUCUUUCACAUGCAUUUUUGCUGACAUAAAAUAUUUAGUUAACACUCACUGCUAAACGAAUGAAAAAAAAAAACACUUGCCUGACAUAUAUUCUCUUUGAUCAUUACUGAUUUGCAAGCAUCUCUGUCCAUACUUGUCUUUAUCGUCUUCCUAGUCAUGGUAAGAAAAUGUUGUUUCCACAUUUUUUCUGGCUUAUACUUGUUUAUAUUGUGCUCUAGUACAGUCAGCUUCCAGCGUAACUUGUGGCUAAGAUAGAAAAGACGCAGUGGCAAAAAGAAAUUUCUGUGAUCGUUUUGUGGGUUACCCUUAAAUGGACUGGUACAGUUUCAGAAGUAUAAAGCAUUUUUUUAGUAGGGAGGAGAGAAAUGGCUGAGAUGCCUGGAAGGGACAUAUGCUCAACGCUUUUUCCAGACCUCCUCCCAGCAGAUUGCUUGUGGUGCUGGCUCACCUGGGUGAUUUGCUGGUGGGGAUGGUCACACAAAAAACAUCUGCUACCUAAGGACUCAGCAUAUGCUUCACUUUUUGAACAUAACUAGCGCUGCCAAGUUUAGUGGGACACAGCUAAAAACCCACAGGGAGGUGAUAUUUCGCUUUCUUUUGUCCUCAAGCGCAGUCGGAAAAGCAGGCCUAUUUUUUCUCCUGAAGAAUCUACAGGAAUUAUCAUGUCAGAAUGGGCUCCACCACCUCAGUGCAUGUGGAGAUCAGCACUGUUUUAGCCAGUGAAACGUGUGCUAGCUGAUCUCAAACAAUCUGCUUGCUUACGGCUGCGAAUGAAGAACAACAUGCUUUCAGAUCCAACACAAACCAUGGUGUGCACCAACUCUCUCAAGACUCACCUGCAAGACCCAGAGCCUCGAACUUGGCAGUGGAGCCUCCUGUCAACAUCUGGUCCAAGCCAGGAGAGGAGCUCGUAUCCCUCAGCUGAUAGUGAUAAAUCUUCAUGAGCAGAAUGAAAUAGUGAUGACUGCUGUAGCUGCUGCACAGCCAAGAGACAUUGCUCUAGUGCUGCUGCUGACGUUGGCUAUGAUGAAAAUAUCUGAUGCUUCAGCUCUGGUCUUGGUACAUAAAGGUAAAUGUGACUUUCAGUAUCUUUCAAAAAAAAAAAACAACAACAAACCUGAUUUUCACUUGUAUACACAACAUUUUAUGAACAGAUUGAAAGAAUUCGUAUCAGAUUGUCUCAAUGUAUUCUUAAGACAACUGAUUCUUAAAGGUGAUUUUGGAGUGAUGAUGGCCACUUUUACAGAGUAUUGCUCUGUCAGCUUAAGCCUGUAUCUUUUCCCUUGCUUGUUGAUUACUUUACCAAUGUUCUCAGUAAAAAAUUGGGAUUCUGUCACAGUGUAAUACUGAUCCGUAUAGGUAUUGCCUUAAAUCAGGCUCUCGCACAUCCUUCAGCAAGCCCCAGUAAUGGCAGGGAGCAGCAGACACCUCUUGGUCUCUUAAUAUAUGAGGAGAGAGAGAAAAAGAAUUUGCUAAGGCUGAAGUUUUCACCUACCAUGGCACUGGGGAGCAGAACCGUGCUGACAAAGCUGGAGCUGAGAGAUUUACAGUGCGGUCCUUCCGUGGAGGGACCUCAAGAGGGGAGCCCACCACAAUGCAGUGCCAGCCAAACCAGUCAGUUGGCAGCCAUCAGGAAACCUGUGCAGACACAGUGCUGUGGCUGGCACAGAGUGGGGAACCAAGUAAAAUAUUGGGUGAAACAAGAGUGUCUUGGGAAAAAAAUGGUUUGAAAGAGCCUCUGUUGGCAAACACGGACUGAGGACAAAUGCCAAGCAAGCUCAGCUGGAGAAGCCUUAAACCUUUCAUAGAAAGCUAAAGCACAAAAGCUUAGACUAAUCCAACCUAUUUAUAUUAGUGUUUUCUGAGCUUAAUUACAAAUUUAAAAUGUUUCCAAAUGUGUGGAGUGUUUGUGUUUGGGUAGCUGGUCUGGCUUGGGCUUCAGCAGAGCAUAGGAAGCUGCUUGGACUGCACAGAAACCGUGCACCUCCAGGUGAAUGGACGCAUGGCCUCAGUGGACCUGGGGCUUGGGAGCAUGCUCAAGAGCAGUGAUGGGGUCAGCUCCCACUCUGCUGUCUCUGAUGGUUUCAUUUGGUUUCAUUUUAGCUCUUUUUUCUCAGUGUUUGUUAGUUGUAUAAAGUUCUGUGCUUGCCUAAACGCUCUCAAGUCACUACGUGGGACAGUGAUAGUGUAGGUUAUCAUUAAGGCUGUGUUCACUGUGAGGACUUGCACCCUCAGCAACUUUUCAGAUGACACCAAACUGAGUGGUGCAGCUGACACAACAGAAGGGACAGAUGCCAUCCAGAGGGAGCUGGACAUGCUCGAAAAGUGGGCACAUGGGAACAUA
rnacentral:lncRNA from 1 species